GCUGAAAUACAGAGGCCUAUACAGCCAGAGAGCUGUAUAGGUUUGAAUUCAAGUCUGAUUUACGGCUCCAUUUUAUCCAAAUCCUGUACACGAGAAGGGAGGAAAGCAAUAUAUUUGCCAAUCCUCCAGCUAAAUGGGUCUCACCACUAAACAUUGUUGAACAUCCCGGGGUCACGGGGCCGUGCUUUGUCAUAUUAUACCCCUUUGCCUCAAAAGCCAUCACAGUAAAUCUGGCCCCGGAACGUCGUAUUAAACGGCGCAGUGGACGUCUUCCGAGACUGAGGCUGAGUGCUAUCCUGGCACUCCGAGUGGACUCUGCAGGCUUCAAGUGAAGAAGUACAGCUGCUCCUUUGGCCCGGGACAAAUACUUAAAUGAGCAGAUUAUUAUGGGGAGAGAGCGGACUCCGUUCUCUCGCUGUUUGUUUUCUCACAUGUGUCAUUCAUAAUGCAUUUAAAUUCAAAAGAAAUGUCCUGUGACACUAAACAUCUAGCUGUGAAAACACAUUUUCCUGUUUCCUGUCUGCAAAUUGUUCCCCUGCUCUUCUGGGCCACCAUUGGUUUUCAUUUAUUGUGACCGACAUUCGCAGCUCAACGUUCAAAGAAUGCGAUGCAAUUCAAUUCCUUUUAUUUUGUAUAGCCCAAAAUCGCAAGUUGCAAAUUUGCCUCAGAGGGCUUUACAGUCUGUACACAUACAACAUCCUCUUUCCCGAAACCCUCCAUCGGCACAGGAAAAACUCCCCAAAAAAUGAGAAAAGGGAAGAAACCUUGGGAAGAACGUCAGAGGAGGGAUCCCACUCCCGGGAUGGACGGACUACAAUGGACGCCUUGUGUACAGAAUUAACAAUGCAAACGUUGUAUGAUACAUUCAAUGCACUGUAGUUUGUAGACAUAACGCGUGUGUUGUCCAUAUCGUCGUGAACGAGGAAGUAUAACAUCUGCUGAGGAGCUAACCAGCUGGUUAGCCCGACCCCGUGUACCUGCAUCCAGGCAGGAAGCCAGACCCUGCUUGAUUUUCAUUGGCUGCCCGGGCCUGGUGGCACAGUGACAUCUGAGAAAAUGUGAACUUUUAUGAGCACGUCAGUAGAAACUAAAAGGAAAGGAAACCGUUGUUUCCUUCGUUUUCAUCUCAUUCUCAUCUGUGGAACCCGGCGGUGCCGUUCGUCUUUCCGUCGUCUCUAUCUCUGCACAUUUUUACUGCGGGGAAACCUCGUGACGCUGAUAAAUAACAGGCUUCACCUUUCCUUAGCGGGGCUCAGCAUGAGUGACUGCGCUCCGAUGGUCUCUCCGAGAGUGUGUCCUCAGCUGUGAAUCACUUGUGUCCAACACACACACACACACACACACACACACACACACAGUGCGUUAGUCUUUCACCCGCAAGGGGAGCGCAAAGCAGAGAAGAUAAUCCCCGAAACGUCGCCCCGCUGUCAAAGGUCGUGAGAGUUCAAAGGUCACCCUCCACAUCAUUUAUAGGCUCUUAAAUAAGCCCGGGCCUCACGCUCCUGCCAACUUUCCCCCUUUCACGCAGUUAUCAGACUCGGAGAGUUAUGAAUCACUGGAGCUGAAACACAAGCGGGAUACAAAUGGAGCAUUGUGGAAGAGGAGAAAAUACAAGAGGGGGACAAUACAGCAAAAGAACAAAACUGUGCAUUAAAUGGCGUCACGACUGUUGCAUUUGACCAUAUCAUCACCAGAUUUUUAUUGUUAGCAUCUUUUCAGCAAUGCUUCACCCCACCCCCGAGGACAGACGGGUUAUUUUCACAACAUUAGAAAUGUAACAGCAUUAGGCCAUGAUAAUCCUUUAUCAUGUUAAGUUCACAGGAGCAUCGUGUAUACUGCAAACAAGAGACAUAGUGAAAACAAAACAAGUAUCAUAAAAAGAAAAAAAGCAAUAAAGAAUCCACAUAAACUGAAAUAUUAAACUGUAGCAGUCUGCUAACACCUACCAAGGGAGAUUAUUAUGUUAAUCCACAGACAGAAUAACUAUGAUUUAUUCAGAUUGCACAGGUUGAUGAAUUGAUAAUCACCAUGAUUAAUCAUUUUCUCGUGUGGAGAUAAAAACAACCGCUAAUCCAAAAGACACCUUGAAAAACACUACGAUGACACAUAAAUAAGGAGAAGGAAAGGAGGAAUCCAAACAACGGACAAAAGUCCUGAUUAAUUGAUAAACAUGGAGCGCAGGUUUGACAAAUGUAAAACUAUUUAAACAUCUGUUGGCAAACUCUUACAUUGCAAGUCUCAUUCCUGACCACUUCCCAUACCUCACUAGAACCUGAGGGCUCCAAACACCUGCGUGGGGCUGUUGUCGCUUGCUGUGUCACUGCAUGCGGCUGGAUAACUGAGUAAUAAGUUCUCUUAUAUUGCGCUCAGAGAGAAGUGCUCCGUGCUUCUCUCCGUCAAACAGAGUUGAAUAAAAAGAUCUGAUCUGGCUCUUAAAAGUGCUGUAGGACCUGACGUGAAUACAACAGGGGUCGGCGUUGUAAAAGUACCUUUGUGAACCCUUAAAAAAUGCAGGACAAGCCGGAGAGAGGCGAAGAGAGGAUGCGAGGAGAGAUGUGAUGUUGUGCGCCGUGGCUGUGACGGAAUUGUCCUCCACGGAGGACCACCGGGGCGGCAAGAAACAUACGUUUCUGAUUUCCUGGGAAGGCUUUAACUUCUGAUGGGUACACGGUCCUCCCACACACCAACACGGUCACUGGUGCCUGUGUAUCUGCAGGAAUGUGUGUAUGUGUGUGUGUGUGUGUAGUUCCACACAUACUCUUCUCCAGAAGAUGAAGCCAUUUCGUUAUUGAUGGUGUAGGGGCUUGAAGCCCCGGUCACACAGACUACAGGAGGUGUCUGUGUCCCCCCCUCCUCCACCCCGCCGCCCGGUAUGAUGGAGAACUCUUUUUCACUCCGGGCGACCCUAUAAACCUGUCUUACCAAUGAUCGCUGUCUAUUUCUAUGCUUAUCUUUGUUUUUAUCUCGGCAUGCCGGUUUAGCAUUUGUGCGUAAAACCAGCGAGAACAUCUCAUGAGAUCAGAUUCACACACACAUACACAAUUGCACCCUAAAUCACAGGCCCAGAACAACCUGCAAAACUUCAUCAUCCUACAAACGUAUUUAGUUACCAGCCUCGAAAUGUCAGAGAUUGGAAGCCUCUCCUGUCCGUAACAACGCUGUUGUGUUCUUCGAGUGUUGAUGUGGUUUCACCUCGUAGAGAACAGCUGCUAUGUUUGACCUUGUUUUCUGAGAUUUUGUUUCAAAAAGAAGAGACCUGUGAGGGUUGAAACAAAUAACAGAGGGUGUCAUGUGAUGCUCGGUCUGUGUUUGCUCCUAGUCUUAAUUUGUACAGGUCACAAAGCAGUUAUAACCGUUAGAAAGCUGAGAGAACUGAAUGAAUGAAGCUGUAGGCCCGGGUAGCAGUACCAGACCUCCCCGUGCUCCCCGUGGAGGAACAAAGAGCCUGGCAUUUCUUUUUAUUUAACGGAACAGAAGGUUCUGGCAGGAUUUCCGAGUGGACCUGGUCUUUAAUGAUUGGGGUCGUUGGCCGUGGUGCAUCACCACUGGAUCCGGCGUAUAUCUCAUAUCUCAACACAUCUCUGUUAACACACCACUUAAAAGUGCACUGAGGCCUGACCACUCGUGUGAUGCUAAUGCCAAGUGCACACGGGGUCACCGAUGCACUACAUUUACAGAGAAAUCGAGCACAGGUUCCAUUUCAGUGCGGCAUGUGGAGUGAGGGAGGCAGGAAAGCAGAACGGGAUCGCAAUCGUGAUCAAAAAUGGUCACGUAAUCCCACUGACCGGCCCAUUAACCGCUCACAUACAUCUCAGGUCUGUUUGUUUGGGUGGUGAAGCUGUGGGGGUCAAUGUCUUUCUCUAUUAUGAUUCCAUUAGAAGAGCCUGGAUCCUUUUCCCACUCUCUUAAGUCCGGGGGCCUCUGUGGUUUUCUAUGAUCGGUCCACACACCACUGUGCUCGAGAUGCAAGGCCGAGGAGAUAGCGAUAUUUUUUUUGUCCUCACUUGCCAGUGUCAGUUUGGACAAGGUUAAAGGUACAAAUAUAGAAAUAACAGGGAAGUAGGCCGUGUGGGAAAAUCUGCCUGUGCUUGUGGCAGUCUAAAACUCGUACCGCUCCACCGAUUACAAUCGUCUGUUGAUAAGUGGACUCCAGGAAUGCUGGAAUGAGCGAGGUUACGGUUAAUGUCCUCUUACUUUGACAUAACCAUUGGUCAAUGGUUGGCCGAGGCAGGCGUCUGAUCAAGAAGUCUGAUGUCAAGCCCAAAGUUAUGUCCUACAGUCCUAAGCGUUUGGUCCAAAAGUCAUAUUAUUUGUCUUAAUGAAAUAUUAUACUAUUUUGACUGUGUUUGACAUCUAAAAUUUCCGGAACGACGUGAUGGCUUGAAUUGCAAAAAAAUGUAAGGGUGCAUGUUUGAAAUGGACAUUUGGUAGAAUAAGGACAUUUUCGGAAUUCACAAUCUUCUUCCGGCCUUUUUCCUGACAUAGUCUGCAGCUGUGCGAUCUGCGUUGCUGUGGUCUACAGGUUGUGUUUUAAAGCCACGGUUGUAUUUUCCAUUUCAAGGCUUAACAUUCUGUUGACCGGUCAUUUUUAGGAACGGCUCCAACGGCUGAUUUACUGAUACACAGGGGUCAGCACUUUGAUUUACUCACUUCCUGUCGGGCCUGUCUAUGUCUUCUCUUGUUUUUCCUUCUCUUAAUGGUUUUUCAUAACUUGAAAACAUUUCCCAUUGUAGAUAACUAUUUUUCCUCUUUUAGCUGAUUGGUAACUAUUUAAUUUAUGUAACUUUAGCUCUUCUUGAAGAAUGUAGACAUCACAGGGGAAACUGGUGAUACUUUUUUUUCCUGAUAAAAAUGAUGGAUAAAGUGUUUUUGCUUUCAAAUUGAUGGUAAUCUAUUAGCCCUUGAUUGAUGGCGUUCAGUCCAGUCCUUAAUGACCUGUCACAUGGCGGGAAAAAUGAGGUCAGAAGUCAUUGGAUUGAAAUCAGCGGAGCUCCUGCCCACUGCCACUGUGGUCAUCUCUCCCUCCGCAUCUCGGAUCAAGACGACCAGUGUUUAUUUUCUCGUGUGGCCCUUCAAGUCGGAAGCGAAGUUGGGACGUCCUCCAAGAGCAACAUGUCGAACUAGAAAUAGAAGGUUGGGAUUUGCAAGGGAGUCCUGAUGGAAUGAAAACAGAUGGACGAUUGAGAUACGGAGAGAGGAAAAAAAGAAAGAAAGUAGAAUAAUCACUUAUGCAGUAUCUUAUUUGUCCAGGGCUCCAUUGUGGUCGCCGUUGACUCUGCCGAGCGCACUGAAAGGACAGAAUACAUUGUAUAUAACCGCCAUCAAAGCUUUGUCUCGGCAGGACACUAGAGCACCGAACCAAAAUGUUAAAACAAUUUUAACCGAACCCUUUCCCCACCUCCAUCAUUCCCUGUCAGCCCAUUUGUUAUUAAAGUGCUGGAAUGUGUCUGGUACUUCAUCAUGGUGGGCAGCGCUGUGCGCUCACUGCGGCGGUAGGAGGAGGCAUGGCUGAAAACAACUUGUAUGAUACUUACAGGCUUUGUUCAGCAAGAUAAUCUUCCCUAAUGUGGUACGGAGCUAACGUUAGGCUAUAAACACCACGAUGUCACCAACCACAAAGCCAGAGGCAGACUACAAGUCCACUGGAGCCACUUGUUAGCAAACACCUUUGUUAGAACGCAUGAAAACUUUAGAGGGAUUUAUGUACCGACGUAUGUGACAUUAAAAUCAUUAAAGUUCUGUUCACCAGAGACCUCAGUCAAAUCAGGCGGGAAGACUUGUUAAGAUAAAGUGGGGAGCAAAGGAAAUGACACGGUUUUCAUUGGUUUGCAAGAAUAAAGCUUUUCUUGUAGAGAAACCUGCUCUUUCAUGUGAGGAUGAGCCAAGAUUGUUGCUUUUUCCCCCCUUUUUGUGAAACACUUUUGUUUGACCAGCCGGUGAACCCAACACAUCCUUCUACCGUCUGAUAUCUGCUCCUCUCGGUUUUCUAGCCAGCGGAGCAAUCUGUCCCGCUCUGACUCCCUGUUAGCUACUUUAUUGUGCCGGCUGAAUGACUGGCUCAUUAUGAGCAGGUGACAAGGACAAGAUGGAGACGGAAGGCUGCGUUAGAUCACUGGAGCCUGAGAGUCAAGUAGAACAAACAAUGCUUUUUUAGAAAAUGUUGUUAGCAUAUAGGCAGACUUCUGCUAAUGGUCACAGAAGACAUAUGUUGUUUUGUGCAUCGGUAGGAGCUAAGGAGCUGUUUAUUGUAUUACUGAUCUCAUGGUUUGAGAUGAGGAACUACUUUCCUGUGUUGUCAUCAAUGACAUGUGACCCAACUACUACGUGAGAAGUAUUCGGUGCGAAUACAUUUCCUUGCUGAGAGUUGGAUGAGACGACUGAAAGACUUUGAGCUUUGAAAACUUUGUGAGUUCUGCCAUUAUUCCUGCUAGUAACACAAACAAUGUCUCACCGCAUUCACACGGCACAAUUUAGAAUAUCAUCACAGACAUUAUUAAUAACUUUAAUUAAAUUUCUAGGUUUUAAUACCAUUCUCUGAUACAUAAUUUAUCAUGUGGAGAUAAUUUCAUACACAUGACCGGCCGGCGUUGACCGGGUUACUUUUACUUUUUACCCUUCGUCUGGGGUUCUUUUAUCUUUACCAUUUGUAAACACUGAGCAUGACAACUCGCUGUGGCCUAGAGCGGGGAACAGAUUUCUUUCUUCCUUUUCUUUAACAACCUUUGUUUUACCACUAAACCUUCCAUAUUAGAUAUGGUUUUGUGUGUUCUGCCGUUUUGUAUUUAUUGUUUUGACCCACCAAUGUCUGCACUUCCUCUGACCAAACACUUCCUUGCAUGUUUCCUCGGGUUGGAACCAACGUUGCCUCGUGUAGUUGACUGACGAGUCACAUGAGGAUAAGGGAUUAAGCGACGGACUGUUUGAAGAUGUUCAAUACAAACAUUUUACAUCAGGCCGACAGAUCAGGCACGUCGAGUGGGUCAAAUAUUUGGAUCUAUUUUCAGAUGCACCUUAAUUUUUCUGCAGCUCCAGAUGGUGUCAGUGGAUUUGGCGCUGGAUGUUAAGGAGAGGGCUGUGAUUUGUUGCUCCACUAUUCCGCUAUAUAUCCUCCAACGGAUUUAGAAGUUCUUCCCUCGUUCGUCCACUCAGAGACAGAGAUAGCAUCUUUGAAGAAUUGUCCGCCACUGCCAGGACAUAACUUACUUCACACAGCCCGCUGAAGCUGAUAGCGAGCCAACAUCUGAGUGUGGUCGACCAUCUCUGUCCUCUCGUUCACAUCUGCCUGGACAGAAACAUCUGUAAAGCCUACACGUUUGUUCUUGGAAAUCAACAUAUCCACCGGAACACAGGACGUUUCUCCCAUGUACAUUAACACUGAGUUACUGUUGUCUUUUGCCGGAGGAUAUUUAUUAUUCUUUUUUAUUUUCUCAGAUUGUAUUCAUAAAAAAAUGAGAUAUGUACGAAAUGAUGGCAAAAGAGACCUGCAAACAUAAAUAAUAACACAUUCGGCAUAAACAUUUUUGGAAUCUGAUCUUCUAAGACUGAGAUGAGAAGAUCAUUGCAUCCAAGCAGCGAUAAUCAAGAUGAUUUAAUAAAGGGUGGAUAUAAUGACAACGUGCAAAACAAAAGAAUUAGCUUGAACCAACAAACCUGGAGAGACAUUGUGUAUUAUGACUCUCACUUGAUUUAUUUCCUGGGAAAACAUUGAAAACAUAAGUUUAGGUUUAUCUCUAGUUUCAAUUAGGCCCCACAAUACUUGAUGGUAAAACUUAGCUGCUUUACUUUCGUUCAAGUUUGCUUAUGUGUUAUGUUCCGUAAUGCACAUACUGUGUCUAAACAACCCUCGGCCAUGCUCGCUGAUCGUUAAAUUCUUAAGCGCGGCGGUUGGUUUCCUCACAGUCAUCACUGUCGCUGAAAAGGUCUGAAAGCUUAAAAAAAGUUAACAUCUUACUUUGGGAUUUGAACAGACACUUGCUCUCCUGUUUUUUGUUUUCCAUGUGAGUCCAUAGCUCCGCCUCACGCUCACUCGCUGUGCGUCGUUAUGGGCCCUCAAAGCUCGGCAUUGUUUCAGCAGAUAAUAUGCACACUUUGAUGUGAAAAGUGUCAAACAACGUCCAGAGGUUGUUGCAGAUUGCGUUUUCGUAGCACAGGUAGCUCGUCCUUCUUCACAGCCGCGCCUGGACACCUUGUUUUUGGACAGUUUGUAGACACUUUCCCCUCUGAGAAACAACAUAAGUGUUUUGGCAUGUGUUGGACUCUGUAACUCUGCCGCUACAUCUUCUAUCAUCAUCUCAUAUCCAAAUGCUCAUUUUGUAUAUGUACUGUAUACACAAAGACUAGUGAAACUAUCUUGGUUUUUCAUCUCUACUUUGUUCUAAUUUAAAACUGUUAAGGCAAAGAAGUUUGGUAGAAAUAAAAAAAGUUAUCUCUCUGUUGUCAUAUCAUUAGCCAGCUGUAUGUAGAAUAGCUCAUCCUUCCUCUCUUUGUAUCAGUAAACAGUUAAGACGGGAGGGUGGUUCUACACACACACACACACACACACACACACACACACACACACACACACACACAUUCAAAUACACACAGCUUGCCUGUACGGACCGCAGGGAGGAACCUUCUGGACCCCACUGAUCCAGACCUGCUGAAACAAAAGGCACAUGAAUAUGUACACCGACCAUACCUCGGGUCACAUGACCCAAUACACACACACACACGUCACCACACACACGCACAGAGUGUACAUAUUUGUACACAAUUGCCAGGCUUAGACAUGCGCAUCAAAAUGAAUAGGAUCAUUAAUAAAUGCUUGUUUGUAACUAAUCUCAGAAUAUGUGUUCUAGAAUACAUGCAUGUAAAAUGUAUACAUACUAUAGAAAGUAAAUAUAUUUUGGAUCUCAUCAACGAAACACAAACGAAAAGACAGUUAAAGCACCUUUUGGGUUUUGUGGUAUUGUGAAAUCCAAGGCUCCUUGUAUAAUGCCACGAUUUUAAAGCAGCUUAUGUUUAAGAAAUAUUUCUUUGUAUGUGUGCAUUUAAAGUUGAAAGAACAGACAGGGGAGGCCUAGUGACAGUCCUUAGUUUAAACAAGAGCGUGCUAUAAAAACAAAAAGAAUACGUGCCGGGUCACUAAGGUAGCGGGCGUUUCAUUUGAAGAUAUUUGUUGUUCAUUCUGCAGGAAUGUGUUCCAUCGGCCGUGGGGGCCAUCAAUCACGAAACUAGAUUGGUCGACUGGUCAGACGCCUUAGUACUCCUCUGGGACGGAAGGCAGCCGCGUUAAUACGCAGAGUGGAGCGGCGUGCAAUUGUCUCUCUACUCCUGUAUGUUUCUGUGCCUAUGUUUUACCCUUUUUAAGAAAUAGGAUCAGACGGAGAAAAGAACAUCUGAAGACAGAGGAGCAGUGGACUGAUCCAGCGUGUCACUGGUACUGCUGGUUUAUUUCUCUCCUGUGUCCUAUCAGAGAUCACAGGGCUUAUCAUGAUGGAUCCGUGUGAAUUUAUCAAGAAAACACGGGAAAAAAGACACAAACACGUCUUUUGCUCAACAAGUUACUGAAAGGUUCUCAUUAGAAUCCUGUCGAUGUACAACAGUAGCAUUUACCAUUCCCUUCCAUUUAAAGGGCAAAAGAAUAUAAUCUGUGUUUUCAUUAGUGUGUUGGCUGUUGUUAACUUUAGAAAGAUAUGGAACAGGUCUUCUCCGCUGAGUUUACUGUGUUGCACCGCCAUGUUUCGCUGCCCCUGUUUCUAUGGUAGCCUACAACGGACCAACCAAACACUGGCUUUAGACAGGGUCACUCCAGUACCAACCAAACACUGGCUUUAGACAGGGGUCAUUCAAAUACCAACCAAACACUGGCUUUAGACAGGGUCACUCCUGUACCAACCAAACACUGGCUUUAGACAGGGUCACUCCUGUACCAACCAAACACUGGCUUUAGACAGGGUCACUCCUGUACCAACCAAACACUGGCUUUAGACAGGGUCACUCCUGUACCAACCAAACACUGGCUUUAGACAGGGUCACUCCUGUACCAACCAAACCCUGGCUUUAGACGGCUUUAGGGCCAUUCACACUUUUGUGUGAACCACUCUAGCUCUUCAAAGCGGGACAAGUUUCAGUUGGUUAGAUGCUGCCAAAUACUAACCCCUUACCUCCAAAUUGGCUUCACUUGGCUUAAUUUGAGGCUGCUGAAAUCAGACUGGUCCCAUGCACAUUUUUACAUCUAGUUGCACCUUUUACACUGCGUACAGUGCAGACGGAGUUGCAUGUCAGUCCCACACGCUCGCACUUCAUUAAAACAACAUAUAUAUUCUAUUCCCCACAUGUCAGCCACUGUCUGGCUCUGAGGGAAACAACAUAAGUCAUGUGUGCAAGUAAAACAGCAAGCAGACUACAUAUGUGUGCGUGUGCACGCCGGCCCCGGGUGUUUGCGGAUAUGUGCACAUGCAUUCUUAUUUCACUGGACCCUCGCUGACGGCCGAACAAAGUGGUCUGACUUCUUCUGCUCUUGACAAGCACUUUUAACACUAUUUCCUGCUCACCUCUCUCUCUCUCUCUGGUUUUCUGUGUUCCUCGUGGAGUUGAAGAGUUGAAUCAUGGGUCAGCAGUUCUUUGUACACAGACACAGAGAGAGAGAGAGUGAGAGAGAGAGAGGAAGAAAGACGGACUAGAUUUCCAGAUGGUGAAGUCAUCAUUUAUCUCUGCUAGAUACACCCAAACUUAUACUUGCACGCACAUACGGUACGUGCACACACACACACACACACACACACACACACACACACACACACACACACACACACACACACACACACACACAAUGACUGUAAUUGCUAGACAACACACUUCUGCCAUCUAACCGUACUUUGCCUGCAUCCUCUGAUGUUCCGGUGAGCCGAUAUUUAAAACAAAUUGAGACGUGUCACAGCUGUAAUUGGCUCCAGGGGAAGAGCAUGAUGGGAAGAAAAGCGCUGAGUGGACACUUCCUUUAAGAUGAAGGGGGUGGGGGGGUUGCCUCCACCAGUGGCAGCCGGCCAGCGUCUUUGGCCUCUUGUUGAGCGUCCAUUCGUCUUGAAUGGUAACGCAGACGUGCUUGCAGUAAAACCCAAACGUUUCCCAAAAGAGAAAAUCUCCACAUCAUGUUCAAGUUGGAGGACGUGUUCCAUAAAGUUUCUGUCUUCACUGAUGACCAAAUGGGUCCAGCUGUUCCACUCUAAGAACUUUGAUAAUUGUGUUUCCGUCUCAGUCCGGUUUGCUUUUCCCAAAUGCGAUCUUCUCUUACAGCGUGACAGCCAUUUGGGUUGGUUAUUAAAAAUUGAUUUCCUGGCCAAGUGAGAGUAAGUGAGAAUGGUGUCUGCGCUGUGUGUGUGUGUAUGUGCGCGUGUUUGGUGGUUGCCGUGGCCACGACACAGCUGGCAAAACCGGGAGCAUCAGUCAGAGAGAAAGAGAGAUAAGAUUAAAUGGGAGAUCAGAAGCAGCGGCAUCGCUCAAGGACAUCACACACACGCACACACACACACACACACACACACGCACACGAGAAGAACAUAUCGACAUAGGAACUGAAAGACGGAAAGGUCAGAAAACAUUAAUGUGAUCCUGUGUUCAACGGGAACGUGUAACCCGGUCUGGUUCCAUCAUUUUGUCUUUUAAAAAACUGUUGUCCAUGAAAGGCGAUUUUUUUUAAAAGACCUUUAGUGAACUAUGUUUAGCGGACAUGAUGGCCUUGAUUGACGAGUGUCUCAGCCAAUCACAGACAGCCUGCUUGGCUCCUUUUUCUGCCCACAUUUGGAUGUUUAGGCUGUUUCCAAGAGACAGAGACAGCCAAAAUGUCAGCUCCACAAAGUCCCCUGACAUCAGAAACGUGACCUCAUUGCCUUUCUAAUCCGGCGAGCUGAUUCGUCUCAAGUUAACUGGACAGGCUGCCCGUGUCACAGUAACCUUAAUUAAUAAACAGGCCUGUCAAUUCCACUCACAACAUCUCGAAGCAUCGGGCCGACGCGGCUUGUUCCCAGUCCAGUCCUUGUUCAUUAGUGAGCGCGCCAUGUUUUUAUCUACGCAUAGAAAAUAAAAAAGUAGUUCGCAAUUCUCGUUAAAAUGGUGACUUGGUACUUUGGGAGAGAAAUCAAAAUACAUUCUGAAUAAUACUCUUCAAUAAAAAUCUAUUUGCAGAGUGUACGAAGUGUGUUGUUCGUUUGGCCUGUCCCGUUGAAGAUGCUUCAUCAUAGUUGAACCUUCUGGCUUCACUGAUGGCUGCAGGGUCACCAACAGGUCUCCAGAGGGCCACUGUGACGUGUUGGAAAAAGGAAGACAGCGCUUCAGAAGGGACAAGGGGAGGAGAGCUGCUCUCCUUAAAGUGAUAAAAAAAAAACCCCCAAUAAUAUUCACAUUAUUAUAGACUAUGACAUCAUACCAUAAUGUUGAGUCAUAUUGAUUUUAAAGAGCGGAACGAAUCCACUCAGCCGUGCGAAACUUGACUUUGUUCGGGGGCAUCAUUUAAUUAAAAAUAUGUUCUUUAAGAGCUCGCGCACUUUAAUAAAUAAAUAAUGAAAUGUUAUUAUUGUGUGUCACUGUUAAUUUUAAAAGUAUGGUACAAUCGGUAGGUCUUUUAUAUUUGAUUUUUGCAUUUAAUUCGCCGUUACCGGAGCGCGCGCUCACACACACACACACACACACACACACACACACACACACACACACACAGAAACGGAGUUUCUGAACAUUUAUCAUCGAAAGUGAUAAUGAAUAAUAAACAGUACGAGAUGAAUGGUUGUACUCGCGCGAUGUGUUGAUGAUGAUUAUAAAGAUAAUACAAUUAAUAACAACGAUGAAAAAUAAAUAAGGGGCUUAUAAUAAUAUUUUUCGCGUGGUUUAUAAUAUUGCAAAGUCUUAAAAUAAGUCAGUGUAGGUGGUUAUCUCUUGAGAACUAUUUAAUUGACACUCACUGCGGACCUUUAAAUUAACCCGAGGUUUACACUGGUCAAGAUGUGACCGUUUCUGGCUUUUAUUGAGGCUAUUCUCCCGCCUUUACUUUUUGCUUGAUUUUAUUAACAAAAAUAUGAACAUGUAAAAAAAACAACAACGAAUGAAACCAAAAAGGACCGAAGGCCUUGAAGCCUGAAUCCGCCAGAUAACCGUCAUCUGCAACUGGCGGUUAACCCGUUAACAAAUUACAUUACGUUUUUACUCUUGGCACCUAAAAAACGACACCGAGAAAAACAGAACAAUACUAUACGAUCUAUGUUGGAGGAAACGUGUUGGUAGAUCGAAAAGACUGCAGCAACUUUUCCACGUUUUAAAUCGGAUUUCUGUCUGAAAACAUAUCCCUGCGCGUGGCCGGGUCUCGUUUCUCACCUCAGUCCAGGUGGAUUGUAGCGUUUAACUAAUCAUAAGAAUAUUCCACCGCAGUAUCUUAAUUCAGUUCAUUUCAAAUAUCGUAAAAUUGCGUGUUUGACAGUUCAUCAUUAAAAACGAUAAACUCACGUGGGGCCUUUAUGACGCACAUACAAAAAAGCUUUAUUUAGGAAUAUUCAACCUCUCGGGGAUUAAAAAAGAUUACAGCUGUCUGACCUCAUGAAACAACAAAGUAUUCAUCGGAUAUUUUUUCUUAACACGCUUAUAAUAUUCCUUGGCAUGUUUUUCUUUUAACCUACAAUAUGAAACAUUAUAUAUAUAUAUAUAUAUAUAUAU
ensembl:lncRNA